UCACUAGAGAGGAGUUAGGGAGAAUUCCCCAUUAGGAAGGGUCAGUAGUUUAGAGUGGCUAGGGAGCAGCCCUACAGGAGUAGGGUUAACGCCUGGGGGCUUACAGUAGAGAGGAGCCCUGAGCUAGGAUCCACAAGGACCAGAAAAUGAGAUAGAGGUCUAUGUGAGGAAAAAGGCUAGUUUAAGUGUAUUUGAACUCCAAGUGGGGAAAAGCCUAGUGGAGUUGGUACCCUGCCAAGGAGGAAAGAAUUGAAGCUGAGCCCAGGAAGGGCAAAGGACCUUUUGUUUGUGAAGCUGAGCCCAGGAAGUGGACUAAACUGUUGUGAGACUUGCCUAGAGGGCUGAGCCACAGAAGACCUGGGGAAGGAGUCUGGAAAAGACACUAGCUAGGAGUGGUUACUGUGGCUGGGAAAGUGGCCACCAGUGUGGAUGCAAGAGGCAAAGUCCCCUCUGGUGCUGUGUUCAGGUACAGGGAGACAACCUAAAGGACUUGUGUUUGUGCUGACAGUCUUCUGGCUUCCGCUGCAGGCUGGAGAUUUUUUCACUGGAGGAUAAGCAUAUUCAUAUUGAAUUCCUGAAAACAGCUAAAGUGAAGCAGCUAAACAGUCUGGCAAACAAUUCCCAUCCACCCCCCCAAGUACCUCUGAAAGGAGCUACCUCCCACAGUGCAGCCUUAAGUCUUGAUUCAAAUGUCACUGCCCUUCUUGGAGUCUGGAGGGAGAUUUCCACAGCUGAGCGUGUGGAGAAACUUCACUUCCUAAUGACAAAGUUGCUUGACAGCCCUAUUGAUAACUCUCCACCUCCACUGUCUUCUCUACUUCGUCUGCUGCGAAGGUCAUCCAGGAGGAAGAGUUUUUACAGACGCACUGUCCAAUUUCAUUCGCCUCCCCACUUAUGUUGCUGGAACUCCAAUUAUCUAUGUACUAAAAAGAGAAUGCAUAUUGAAUGGAUGAGAGACUCUCAGAAAUGACCCCAUGAAGACAGAUGACAACUGCAUAUGUGGUUGUACAUGGCUAUGUUUACACUCCAAUCCACAAUCGGCAGCUUGUAGAAUAUGUGAACCUACAUGGCACAGUGAAAAGUAAGCUGUGUCCAUAUUGUAGUAUGUAGCUACACAUGUCAGUGAAAGGCUCUGGCAGGGGGAGGUAGCAGGGAAAAGUUCAACCUGCCAGUCUACUUCCCUGCUGCCAGAGUCUUCCCCUGCAGAGAGGAAGGGCUCCAGCAGUGGGGAACUGCUAGAGACUUUUCCCUCUGCCUCCCCCGCCCACCCCACCAGAGCCUUUCCUCGCUGCUGGAGUCUUUUCCUGCAGUGGAGAGAGAUUCUAGUAGCUAUACAGCUAAAACUAGCAGUGUUGACUGGAAGGCACAGCUUGAGCAUAUAGAGACCCGUGAAGGGUAUGUAUAUACUCUGGUACAUACCCACAUCCUUCAGAUGUGCUUGUACUGUACUCCCCUAAGACAUGCCUCUCUGUCUAUACAGGUACUUAAACCUAUGCUAGGGGGACUACCUGAGCAGACUGUACAUGCUGCCCAAGAAGGCGUGCAGUGUAGACAUAGCCUGUGUGGUUAGUAAAAACGUUAGUGAUAAUUGGGUGUCUGGCUCACUCUGCUUCACUUUUUCACGUUGCUGAGAAUGCUGGCAAGAGUGAAAACACCUUAGCUAAUGACAUACUGUCUCCCAGCAUCUUCAGUUUGCUGCUGUCCCCUCUACUAUUGCUGCACUUUGAUGUGACUCUUAAGAGCAGGGCUGCCCAGAGGAUUCAAGGGGUCUGGGGUCUUCAGCGGCGGGUCCCCGGGCGAAAGGACUGCUCGCCGCCGAAUUGCU